GCCCCGGGGCGCUCCGGAGGCUCCCAGUGCGCAGCUGCUGCGGGACGCCGCAGAGAGCGCCUGGGGCCGACCGCCGAGUGUGAGACGCGUACCCGGAUUGGAUGCCCGAGCCCGCGGUGAAUGGGACUCCCUUACCCAUUGGUUCAUUUAACGGUACCACUCGGAGACAGGCAGAAGACGAAGAAGUUCCUUUUGCCUUCACCUGCACAAGGAAAGACACUCUGAAACAACCAGUUCAUUUUUUUUUUCUGGUCAUGUUUCUGCCUUUUAAAAUUCCCUUUCUGUUUUAAAAUCAUCCUCUGGUCAUCUCACGCGCACAUUCCUUCUAUUUAGAAUAAGGUGUUGUCUGUUUCUACAGUCCCAAAUA
rnacentral:lncRNA from 1 species